rnacentral:rRNA from 1 species
CGGCAAAAGCUCAAAUUUGAAAUCUGACCUUUGGUCCGAGUUGUAAUUUGUAGAGGAUGUUUCGGGCAAGAAUCGGGCUUAAGUUCCUUGGAACAGGACGUCAUAGAGGGUGAGAAUCCCGUACGUGGUCCAGGGUCGCGCCCAUGUGAAACUCCUUCGAC